rnacentral:rRNA from 1 species
GUGCCAGCCGCCGCGGUAAUACGAAGGGGGCUAGCGUUGUUCGGAAUCACUGGGCGUAAAGGGCGCGUAGGCGGCUGUUCAAGUCGGGGGUGAAAUCCCGUGGCUCAACCACGGAAUGGCCUUCGAUACUGGACGGCUCGAGACCGGAAGAGGUGAGUGGAACUGCGAGUGUAGAGGUGAAAUUCGUAGAUAUUCGCAAGAACACCAGUGGCGAAGGCGGCUCACUGGUCCGGUUCUGACGCUGAGGCGCGAAAGCGUGGGGAGCAAACAGGAUUAGAUACCCCUGUAGUCC